rnacentral:misc_RNA from 1 species
AACCUAGCACACCUGCGGUGUGUACCUGCGGAAGGAUCAUUACAGAGUUGCAAAACUCCCUAAACCAUUGUGAACGUUACCUAAACCGUUGCUUCGGCGGGCGGCCCGGGUCCUUCCCGGCGCCCCUCGGCCCUCGCGGGCGCCCGCCGGAGGUAAACCAAACUAUUGCAUUGUAUGGCCUCUCUGAGUCUUCUGUACUGAAUAAGUCAAAACUUUCAACAAUGGAUCUCAGAUCGGAAG